rnacentral:tRNA from 1 species
GGGCCGCGUAGUCCAGCGGGGCGGACGGGUCGAUGGAGACGUCAAGCGGGGCGGGUUCGGCGCCCGCGCGGACCA